ensembl:lincRNA
AUGUAUUGUGAAAUAUUACUAAUAUUAUCUCUUUGUUCAGAAAAAGUACUGGAAAANNNNNNNNNNNNNNNNNNNNNNNNNNNNNNNNNNNNNNNNNNNNNNNNNNNNNNNNNNNNNNNNNNNNGACGAACAAAUAGCUACAAUGAAGUUUGUAGAGUUCUUAGCUAUCUUAAAGAAACUAUGCUUCCUUUGAGGGAAUGAGACAUCUGAAGAUCAUUACAUUUCGGCAGAGCAGUGAUGCAGAGACACUUCUCAGAAGGACUCAGAGGACUCACUUCCUGAAAGAAAGCAGUGACUGUAUUUGCCUUUUGGAAUCAGACUGUGUAACACCCAAAUGCAGCCUGGAUCUCCCACUGUCCUCCAGUGAAGUGGCUCAUUAGAUGAGGUCUGGGACCACACUUCCGGGCUGUGUGCCAAUCAGAAAAGUGCCAUCGAGUUCUCAGUUUUGUGGAAAUGCCACAUUUGGAGUAAAGCUGCUUGGAAACAAGCUGGGAAGGCACUCACAUAGAAAAUGGGACCUUUGUUUGAAGCCAAGAUAAUAAAAAAUGGUGUAAAUACAGACAUUUAUAUUUAUGAUAGGAUCCACGAUCAUAGAUGCUACAGGAAGUCAUAAUUAAAGGAAGACAGUUACUUGAGAGGAUAUAACAAAGAAGAGAAAUGUUAACUCUUUGGCAUCUUAUAGAUAUUAGGCCAGAGGACAGCACUGGAUGUUUGUCUGUUUGUAGCAUCAAGAGGCACAGUUACACUUGGGAGAUAUUCAAACCACUCAACUUGGUCUGUGAUCAGAAGAAUUGAGGUCGUGAAACAGAAUGCUCUGAACAUUGGCUGUGAAAACUUUGGGAAAAUUCUACCUUUUAAUAUUCAGUUUACUACUCUAGAAAAGCCAGAAACUCAUGCUAUCAUUGUUGCUAGAUCCAGAUGAGUCAAAACUGCCUUGCAAAUAAUUUCCAUGAAUGAAAUAUAAAGCUUAUUCCCAUCUCAAGAUAAUUUUUCUUUCAAGACAGACUAUAUAAAUAUCCAUUGUGAUAAACAAGCAAAUAAUCUCUUACUUAUUUGUCAAUUAUUUAUAUUAGUUUACAAUAUCUUUUUCUUUUUUUGUUUUUAGUUUUUUGAGAUGGCUUCUCUGUGUAGCUUUGGAGCCUAUCCUGGCACUCACUCUGUAGACCAGGCUGGCCUCGAACUCACAGAGAUUUGCCUGCCUCUGCCUCCAGAGUGCUGGGAUUAAAGGCAUGUAGCUUACAUAUGUUUUAUUGUGGCAUUAUUAUACUAUAGUUCAAAAUGUUUCAUGUUAUAAUUGUUUACAUAUGAAUGAGCUUUUAAAAAGCAUCUUUGUAUCAAUCUUCUGUAGUUUAGAAAUAAACAAGGUCUUCUAUUACAACAUUUCUAAUAUCAUACUUUGUAAAUAUAUUGUUUAGAGUAUAUUUUAAAGUAAACCUUAACUUUCUUGGUUUCAGUGACUCAUUUUUUACAUUUCAAGUUAGAUAUUUUCAUAGAAAUAUUUUAAAAGUAGAAAUACAAUAGAAAGAACACAUUAGGCACUAUGAUAUCAUAUUUUAUGGCCUUACUGGAAAAAUCUUAAUAUGUAUUUUAUUACAGAAUUAAUAACACACUGCUGAGUAGUAUUCCAUUGUGUAAAUGUACCACAUUUUCUCUAUCAAAGCUGGGGAAACAGCAUUAGACCAAACCAAGCCCUCUGAAUGUGGGUGCCAGCUAGGAGGCCAAGACAGUCUGUGGGACCCCAUUCACAGUCAGGGAGCAGAGAGCAAUAGGUACAUAUGCUCAUUUUGCUUCCUUACUGUUAUUCAUGGGUGGCUCUUCCCACCCCAGUUAACCUAAUCAAGAUUAUCCUUCACAGAUAUGUUUAGAUAUUUUUCUGCAAGGUGAUUCUAGAAUCUGUUAAGUUUGCAAUCAAUAUAAUCCCUCGGCUCAGAAUAGAAUUGCUUAUUAUUUUCUUUAAGCAUCUUUAAUAUAUGUAAAAGAUAUUUAACUAGACCCAUGUGUAUUUGCAUGUCUGCCUUAAAUGAACACACAUUAUUGUAAUAUAUUUACAUGUAUUUUCUUUUAAUUAUUUCAAAUAGUUAUAAUGAAGUCUGGUAAUAAUGAUAGUUUUAUCAUACAUGCAUAUUCAUUUAUUUUAGCAGUGAUAGUGAUAAAAUGGUUUUCAUAUUUUUUAAUAGUUGAUUCUAGCUCUUUGUAGAACUGUGAUGGAAAAAUAAUGUACCUUGUCUGAGUUUUAUCAUUUAAAAGUAUGUUAAAUAUAACUAGUUCUGAGUGCUUUAUAAGACCUCAAGGACAUUCACAGGAAGUACCCAAAUGCAUAUAACUAUGCACAUAGUAGGACACACACACACACACACACACACAGACACACACACGCAGACACGCAGACACACAUACAGCUCUUGCCUCUUUUCUAUCCUGAGUUAGGCCCGACAGGAUGACCUAUGUCAGCUGCACGGGCUAUUUUUCCUUUCUACUUACUGUCAAUUGAAUUCAUCUUAUGGAAUCAGUAGAGGACAACAAGGGGUGAGGGGCUCUGAGGUCUGGGUCAUCCCCUUGCCUGUUUCUUGCCACUCAGGCACAGUUGCGUGUAUGCUUUUACAAAAUGCCUAUAUUAGGUAUUUUUGUGUGGCUAUGAGCAAAAGGACUGACACAGGAGAACAAGCAUUCAGAGCAUGUGCCCAUUGAAGACAUUUCAGAUUCAAUCCACAGCCUCUCACCUUCUACCACUAGUAAUCUCUCUGAAUAUGUUACCUUAUCUUUUUCCUUGUCCCUUCA